GACGAACGCUGGCGGCGUGCCUAAUACAUGCAAGUCGAACGCAGUGGGGACGGGUGAGUAACACGUGGGUAACCUCCCAUCAGAGGGGAUAACACUUGGAAACAGGUGCUAAACCGAUACUGAUGGAUGGACCCGCGGUGCAUUAGCUAGUUGGUGAGGUAACGGCUCACCAAGGCCACGAUGCAUAGCCGCCCUGGUAGGAUGAUCGGCCACACUGGGACUGAACCACGGCCCAGACUCCGACGGGAGGCAGCAGUAGGGAAUGUUCGGCAAUGGACGAAAGUCUGACCGAGCAACGCCGCGUGUGUGAAGAAGGUUUUCGGAUCGUAAAGCACUGUUGUUGGAGAAGCGGUAUCUGGCCAGAAAGCCACGGCUAACUACGUGCCAGCAGCCGCGGUAAUAC
rnacentral:rRNA from 1 species